GUUUGCCCUGGCCUCAACACACACCUGCUGUGCGCCCCGCCGCAGGUUUGGCAGCCUCUCUGUUUGAGCAUGUCUAAGAGGUGUGCCGGGAUUCCCACAGGCAAGAUGAUGAAUGGUGUUCCUCUGAGACAGAACAACCACAAGAACCUGAUCCCAGGACAAGUCACAGUGAGGAGGACAAGGACCAGGUUACCUGGCCACUAAGAAGAGAACAUGAGUCAGGAACAGACGACCCACCUGGCAACCAGCUCACUCCCCCAUCCAAGAGAGCUAAGAGUUGGGAGCUACAGGACCCAGGAUUGAGGAAUUCGCUGGCUGCCUCUGGACGCAGCUUCUGGAUCCCUGCCAGUCGGGUCCAAGGUGAUGCUGACCGGCUGAGCAAUGAGGACAUUAGUGCUCCUUGGACCACAUUGGAGCUUGGGUUGCAGGACUGUAAGGGGAUGCUAGCAUCAUCGGGCUUUCCUUAGCUAUGGCAAAGGGGCAUUUCGGCAUCAUCUCCUCUUCCAGAACCCACCCCACCCCCAGCUGGAACCAGUCCAUAUCAGUCAGCCAGUCAGCAAGUCUCCACCAAGCACCCUUCGGAGCUCAUACCAGAGCCCAGACAGAGGGCCGAGAGACAGAGGUCAGAGGACAGAAGAACAGACUCUAAGAGAAGGGUAUCUCACUCACUCCUGGGUGGAAGAUAUGCCUUCUUCACCUCAGCCAUCCAUGCCAUAGAGUCCUAGUCUCCUAUGGAGGGACACCAUUGUUCUGCUAUCUCCAGUGAUGGGUCCACAGAUCCUACAGGAGGGAAGAAGGGACAGGAAGAUGCAGCUCUGGCCAUCUGGCCUGCCCAAAUAAUUCCUAAGAAGAUAGGCAAGAGUUGAUUUUUUUUUUCACUCCCUGAUUUUAUUUUCAUGUGUCCUUUGCUACAUUUUUACUUGGUAAACAACAUCACAACUUUUGGCCAAGAGAAGACUGGGUUUAGAAUCUCUCAAUAAUAUUUUUUUUGAGGUCUGGGGUAACUGAAACAUGGAGCUGGAUUGUCCCCAAAGCAUAAUUAACCAUUAAACAGCUCAGUGCUUCCCUUUAUGCAUUCAUUCAUCAGUACAAGAAAAUUCUUGUCCACUUAUCCUUAAAACACUGUCUAUGCUCCAUUUCCUCCUCCCUCUUUUGCAAGUGCAAUAUUAAAUAUGGGGUUCAUCUUUUCUUUCUCUUCACGUCUCUUGUCUUCUGUGUUUUCUUUUUGUCUUCAUGGCUACAUUUGUGUUGAUUUCUUCUGAGCUGUUUUCUGGUUUGCUAAUUUUCUUCUCAGCUGUGUUUAAUCUACUAUUUAAUGUGUCCAUUGAGUUCUUAAUGUUGGUUACUGCAGUUUUCACUUCUAGAGAUGCCACUUGAUCCUUUUUCAGAUCUUUUACUUCUUAUAGAUUUUCCACUCUUAGUUACUUUUUAAGCAUACCUUAUUUCUUUGAACAUUAUAUGUACAGUUAUGGUCAAUAAUUUGAAGACUUUAAGAGUGUAAUUCUGUUUUCUGUUGGCUCUCCCAGUUUUCACUCAUACUGUCUUAUUUUCUUGUGUGUCUGAUUAUUUUUGUGUGCCAGUCAUUUAUUUUUAUGAAAAAGAAAAGUUUGUAAGAAAAAUGUGGGAUUUAAGACAAAGGUACCUUCCAUCAGAGAUCAUUCUCAUUUGCUCCAGCCAAAUAUUGAGAAACUCUGCUAGUUAAUCAAACUUUAAGGUUCUCUAUCCCACCCAGGAGAUGAGAACUUAGAUUACAAGAACAUGUGUGUGCUGGUUUACUUCUGGUUCACCCUUAUAUGAGGGUGUAGCUCUUUGGAGUGCCACAUCAAUGUGGGAGGGGUGUCUUAUUCUAUGCUCCACCUGUGUGAGCCCCAAGGUUUGAAUUCUGUCUCUCUCAUUCUAUAAGAAUAUCAAAAUAAAAUUCAGAUUUGUUAGAAUCGGAAAAUGCCUCAGACAA
rnacentral:lncRNA from 1 species